GAGAUGCUUCUGGGUACUAAUGUGUUCAUUGAUAAAAUUAACUGGGAGACCACAGCAUCUGUGUAGAAAAGACAACCAAAGGUUAAGAUUCGUCAAGAAUGAAUGUUUGGGACACUCCAUCAGGACAUGUUGGUGCUGAACAACUUUUCAAUUUGGCCCAUAGGAUUAAAACGGAUUACAAAUUAACUAGAAGAAAAAUGAGCUUGUCGAUGUAGUGAUGAGUAAGAUUUUGUGUUGCUCCCCUUAGAGGGAAGAGGCAAAUGCAUUUUGGAUACAUGCAGGGCAUGAGCCUGUGACGAAGGCUCCACCAGUCAUACUCACCAACCCCAAACUCAGGAGGCAGUAUCAGAAAGAAACAGGACCAAGAGAAUCCUCUCUGGCAAUCACGGUCUCUUAAACAAGAAUAGUUCCUGGGGCAAUUGCAGCAGUGGUGCCGCUAUGACCACUGACUGUUGGUGCUGUGGGAUCAGCAUUUAAGGGUUGGAGGUGGAUUUGUUUUCCUCUUUGGACAGAUUCUACAACAUUAUUUUGAUGCUUUCCACAGCUAUUUAGACCCCAUAGAGCCAU
rnacentral:lncRNA from 1 species